GACGAACGCUGGCGGUGUGCUUAACACAUGCAAGUCGAACGGAAAGGCCCUGAUUUUGUGGGGUGCCCGAGUGGCGAACGGGUGAGUAACACGAGAGCAACCUGCCCUUGUCUUUGGGAUAACUUCAGGAAACUGGGGUUACUAUCGGAUAGGAGCCCCUGCUGCAUGGUGGGGGUUGGAACGUUUCGGCGGUUGGGGAUGGACUCGCGGCUUAUCAGCUAGUUGGUGGGGUAGUGGCUUACCAAGGCUUUGACGGGUAGCCGGCCUGAGAGGGUGACCGGCCACAAUGGGACUGAGAGACGGCGCAGACUCGUACAGGGGUCAACAGUGGGGAAUAUUGCACAGUGGGCGGAAGCCUGAUGCGGAAACGCCGGGUGCGGGAUGACGGCCUGCUGGGUGUGAACCGCUUUAGCCUAUGACGAAGCGGGGGUGACGGUAAUGAGUGAAGAAGCACCGGCUAACUACGUG
rnacentral:rRNA from 1 species